GACGGAGGGUGCUAGCGUUGUUCGGAAUGACUGGGCGUAAAGGGCGCGUAGGCGGCCGCUUGCGUCGGAUGUGAAAGCCCGGGGCUCAACCCCGGAACGGCAUCCGAUACGGGGAGGCUCGAGACCGAGAGAGGUGAGUGGAAUACCCAGUGUAGAGGUGAAAUUCGUAGAUAUUGGGUGGAACACCGGUGGCGAAAGCGGCUCACUGGCUCGGUUCUGACGCUGAGGCGCGAAAGCGUGGGGAGCAAACAGG
rnacentral:rRNA from 1 species